GCAAGAGGGAUCAAACGCAAAGCCUCUUCAGGGCAGGGGGCGCAUUCUUCCCGCUGCCCUGAAAAGGCUUUGCGUUGCUAUCCCAGAAGC